ACAUCGUAACACAGACAGAAGGAGGCGUGUGACAGCAGUACAGCGCUACACGUCGCUUUCGGCUGACCGAGAACAACCCCAGUUUCUUUCGGUGUUCAUUAAAACAGCAGCCGUGCCCCGCCGCGCCCCCACCCCCAGCGGAGCCGUCAUGUGGCAGGAGGCCCGCAAACACGAGCGAAAGCUCCGUGGCAUGAUGGUGGAUUACAAACGCAGAGGGGAGCGAAGGCGAGAAUACUAUGAGAAGAUUAAAAAGGAUCCAGCUCAGUUUCUGCAGGUUCAUGGGAGAGCCUAUAAGAUUCAUCUGGAUCCAGCUGUGGCACUGGCUGCAGAGAGCCCCAUCAAUAUGAUGCCGUGGCAGGGAGAUGCCAACAACACGAUUGACAGGUUUGAUGUCAGGGCUCAUCUGGACUACAUCCCUACUUACACUCCUCCACUGCUCAACACAUCAACCCCGGAGCAGGAGAUGGAGGAGAGGAAGUGCAAUUACGAGCGCUACAGAGGCCUUGUGCAGAAUGACUUUGCCAACAUCUCUGAAGAACAGUGCUUAUACCAGAUCUACCUGGAUGAGCUCUACGGUGGCCUGCAGAAACCAAAUGAGGAUGAGAAGAAAAAACUGGCUGAAAAAAAGGCAGCCAUCGGUUACACCUAUGAAGACAGCACUGUGGCAGAGCCUGAUCCCCAGUCAGACAAAGAUGAAGACAACUCAGAGAACAGUGAAUCAGAGGAGGACGAGGGCAUCCCGGAUAUCGAUGUGGAGGUGGAUGUUGAUGAGCUGAACCAGGAACAGGUGUUGGAAGUAAACAAAAUAGCGACCCCGUAUGGAAUGGCUGAAGGAGACUUUGUUAGGAUGUUGAGGAAAGACAAGGAGGAAGUUGAGGCCAUCAAACAUGCCAAGGCUCUGGAGGCGGAGAAGGCCAUGUACUCUGGCCGGCGUUCUCGCAGACAAAGGAGAGAGUUCAGAGAGAAGAGGCUAAAAGGUCGUCAAAUCAGUCCACCAAGCUAUGCAAGGAGAGACAGCCCCACCUAUGAUCCCUACAAACGGCCAGAAUCAGAGUCGAGCUCUGAGUCACGGUCACGCUCUCGCACUCCCGGCCCAGAGAAGAUCACCUUCAUCACCAGCUUCGGAGGCAGCGAUGAUGAAGCUGUCGCCGCCGCCGCUGCUGCUGCCGCCGCUGCAGCAGCAACUCAAGCAGCCGCUCCUCACUCUGGCCAGGCUCCCUCCAGCACGCAGCACCCUGCAGGUCAUAGCAGGGGCUCCCGGAGACGAAGGUCGUCCUCCAGCCGCUCCCCCUCCUCCUCCUCCCGCUCCUCCUCUCGUUCCUCCUCUCGCUCUUCGUCUCGUUCACGCCGUGCCAGACGAGGUCGCGGGGGAAGGGAUGGCCGGCGAUCCAGGACCCGAUCACGGUCGAGACGGCGUUCCAGAUCUCACUCAAGAGGUAGAGGAGGAAAUGGAGGAUCUGCAUCCUGGAGGAGACGCGACCGGACACGAUCACGGUCCAACAACAGAGAUAGAGAGCGAGAGCGAGACAGAGACAGAGACAGGGACAGGGACAGAGAUAGGGAGCGUGAACGGGACAGGGACCGUGACAAGGACAAGGAAAAAGAAAAGGAAAAGGAAAAGGAAAAGGACAAAGACAAGGACAAGGACAAGGACCGGGACAGGAGACGAUACUCGGCGCGAAGACGAACAAGGUCCCGUUCCAGCUCACGGCAGGGGGCCAGCUUGAGGCGAGGGGGACGAAGCAGUGGAGGCCACCGACGGGGAGACAGCAUCAGCCGCAGUCCCUCUCUGUCCCCAAAUCGCACUAACCACAGUCCCUCUCCUACCCACAGAGGAGCCCAGCCCUCUUCCCUCAGCAUCUGUGACAAGCUAAGAAAGCCUGAAACUCCGGGUGGUAAAGAGACGGGAGCUGCCAAAGUCACCCAAGAUGACCCCGCAGGAGCGUCUGAAGCAGCGAAUGCAGAAGGCGCUCAACAAGCAGUCCAAGGCGGAUAAAAAAGCUGCGCAGGUGAAGGUCCUGCAGCAGGAGCACAAGCGACAGGAGAGGGAGGGAGAGCUGCGGGCCAUGGCACGCAAGAUCCGCAUGAAGGAGCGGGAGAGGCGAGAGAAAGAGAGGGAUGAAUGGGAGAGACAGUAUGGGCGACAGAGCCACUCGCCCUCUCCUUCCAAAUAUGGCCGUGAACACAGCUCAUACAGAAGGAGGUCGCGUUCUCGGUCACGGAGUCCGUACUACAGAUACUGAUCUGUGGACAAUAUGAACACAUCCCAUAGGACCUUCUGCACAAUACGUCAUCAUCAGUACUCAUACUGUCAAACAAAAAGGAAAUAUGAAGUGAUGGACUGACUGACUAGCAUAUGUCUACAAAUAGUGUUUUGACUGUGAUACCUUUAAUCACACUAAGUACACAGUUGAUUGGUUAUUUUUGACCCUUUUAUUUCUGCUUCACCUGUAAAAAGACAGAAGGAUUGUUAUGAGUUACUGUUUUCUCCUGCAUGAUGUUUUUUUUUUUUUUCUUCUGGCUGAACAUCUUUUUCCAAUAUGGACUCCUCUGGAAAUGCAUACUUCCAAGUAUAUACACCAAUCAGCCAUAACAUGACCACUGAGAGUAUCAUUGAUUAACUUGCUUUUAAAGCCAUCUGUCAGAAGGUUGGGCAUUUUAGGCAGCAAAUAAACAUGUCGUUAGAAUUGACUUUGACAAGGACCAAAUCAUGAUGAUUCUAAAAGUGAUCCAAGGAAGGAAAACUGGUAAAGUGGCAGCAGGGUCAUGGGCGACCAAGCCUCAUUGAUGCACUUGGGGACCAAAGGUUGGCCUGUGUGGUUUCGAUCAAACAAGAGAAACUGAAUCUCAAACUACUGAAAAUGUUAAUGCAGAAAGUUGUCAGCAAACUGUGCAUCACAGUCUGACCACAAAGCAAUGGAAGAAAGUGGCCUGGUGACACACAAUAGCAUUGAAUUUACAGUCCAUAGAGGCCCCAACUUGUACCUACAAGACCUAGUGCAAACUUCCUGGUGCCAGAUACUGCAUACAACAGAUGGGCUGUUUUUACUCUCACCUGAUGAGAGUAUGGCCUACACAACAUAAGGCAGGUGGUCAUAAUGUUAUAGCUGUUUGGUGUAAUACUAAGCAAUAUCGUCUCCUCUUUUACCUAAUCUUUUCAUGUCUUUAUGCCACUCUUAUCCUUUAACUUCUCUAAGAAUUAAUGCUCACACUCAAAACAAUUUUAAACAACUUUCAUGAGCUGAUGUACAGAAUAUUUAUAGACAUUAUUUAGAAUUUGUUUAUAAAAGCAUAUGAAGUUCAUGUAUGAAUUCAAUCCAUCAAUCCCUCUUUUUAUACUCUGUCCUCUGCCAAAUGGUCAACAGAAGCAAAUAACUUUUUUUGUUGUCAGUAAUGUGGAAUGUUAAACUCAAAACAACAAAUAAAACUUAAUUUUGAAAUA